GUUAACGUAGCUUAAUGCAAAGCAUAACACUGAAGUUGUUAAGAUAAGUCCCAGCAAGACUUCGUGAACA
rnacentral:tRNA from 1 species